rnacentral:rRNA from 1 species
UGGGGAAUAUUGGACAAUGGGCGCAAGCCUGAUCCAGCAAUGCCGCGUGAGUGAGGAAGGCCUUAGGGUUGUAAAGCUCUUUCGGCGGGGACGAUGAUGACGGUACCCGCAGAAGAAGCCCCGGCUAACUUCGUGCCAGCAGCCGCGGUAAUACGAAGGGGGCGAGCGUUGUUCGGAUUUACUGGGCGUAAAGGGCGCGUAGGCGGCCCUGUUUGUCAGGCGUGAAAGCCCUGGGCUCAACCUGGGAACUGCGCUUGGGACGGCGGGGCUUGAGAUCGGGAGAGGAGAGUGGAAUUCCCAGUGUAGAGGUGAAAUUCGUAGAUAUUGGGAAGAACACCGGUGGCGAAGGCGGCUCUCUGGACCGACACUGACGCUGAGGCGCGAAAGCGUGGGGAGCAAACAGGAUUAGAUACCCCUGUAGUCC